rnacentral:rRNA from 1 species
CAGUCGUAACAAGGUUUCCGUAGGUGCACCUGCGGAAGGAUCAUUC